ACGGCCUCACGCACCUGCCUCCGUGCAGCGGUGGGGUCGCAUUUCAGCGAUGAGGCAACCUUCCGCCAAUCAGGUGCAGUGAGAACGGUUAGGGAGCGUGGUGAGAACUCUCCUCCCACGUCUGCUAUCUUCGACCUGGGAAACAGCGCUGCCUCGGGGAGGGGCUGGCCUCGCGGGCCGCUCUCUGAAUGGGGGCCAGACAAAAAGUCUCACCACCAGAAGCGUGCCGGGACACGCUCUUCCUGCAUGUGGGCAAUCAUCAAACAGCACACCUGGGUCUGAUGAGGGCAGACGGCAUAAAGACCAGCGGACCGGAAUAUCCAGUGCCGGAACGUAGUUCACUCCUCGUAUGUUCCCUCAGUUUCCUGUGAUCGAGCUGUGUGCCUCAACUUCCCACCGGACUUUGGACUGCUUCCCUCGAUCCUCGACCCCCACCUCGUCGUCUCUCUCCAGCCCCCGACCUCUCGCUAGCCCACGGACCACUUCUCGCCUUACCCCUUUGGUCUGACGAAGGAUUCAUCCAACACGCACAAACAACAACCUCUGAAAAGGCAGCGUGUGUGCGCGUGUCGCAGCCCAGCAGGGGAAUUUGUCCUCAGGUCGCCUCACCUGAGAAGGCCCUCCGACAGGCACCGGGUUCUUUACCAGGCACACUGGCCUCUCCGAAGAAAAGAAAGCGAAACAGCAGGAAUAAAAGCAACAAUCUGGCCUGAGGCGAGCUCAGGAGGGAAGGGGGGCGAAGUGAAAGCAGUGAUCCUCUGCAGUAAAACUGCUUUAUAACUGGCUUGAGUCUGUUUUUAAUAAGAAAAAGGUUUGU